UACGAAGGGGGGCUAGCGUUGUUCGGAUUUACUGGGCGUAAAGCGCACGUAGGCGGGUCGUUAAGUCAGGGGUGAAAUCCCGGAGCUCAACUCCGGAACUGCCUUUGAUACUGGCGACCUUGAGGCUGGAAGAGGUUAGUGGAAUUCCCAGUGUAGAGGUGAAAUUCGUAGAUAUUGGGAAGAACACCAGUGGCGAAGGCGGCUAACUGGUCCAGAUCUGACGCUGAGGUGUGAAAGCGUGGGGGAGCAAACAGGG
rnacentral:rRNA from 1 species